rnacentral:rRNA from 1 species
AGCACCCCCGUGAGAACGCCCUAAACCCCUGUUCGGGNUUNCNAGCUGGUAUCAGGCACAUAUCUAACCCAUGACACCUAGCUAUGCCACAUCCUCAAGGAAUUUCAGCAGUGAUCAAUAUUGAAAAUACGCGUCAGCAAGAUUCAGUUAAAGUACAGAGAGCCGGCAAAAUUGGUGCCAGCCGCCGCGGUUAAACCAAUAGACUCAAAUUGAUUAUAUCGGCGUAAAGCGUGAUUAAAGUUUUUCCCCAUCAAAGAUAGAACCCUCACUAAGCUGUGACACGCUUGUGCCUGAGAAAAUCAAAAACGUAAGUUAUUUUUGUUAACCCCACUUGAAUUCACGACAGUUAAGACACAAACUGGGAUUAGAUACCCCACUAUGCUUAGCCGUAAACUUUAAAUUACAUCAUAAACGCCAGAGAACUACGAGCAAAGCUUAAAACUCAAAGGACUUGACGGUACCCCAUAUCCACCUAGAGGAGCCUGUCCUAUAAUCGAUAACCCCCGCUUUACUUACCAUUUUUUAGUCGUCAGCCUGUAUACCUCCGUCGUCCAGCUUACCGCGUGGGCGAACCACAGUGAGCCUAAUGUCUACACGUCAACACGUCAGGUCAAGGUGCAGCUAACAAAAUGUGGAAGAGAUGGGCUACACUCUCUAAUUUAGAAGAUACGAAAAACUUUAUGAAACCUAGUUAGAAGGCGGAUUUAGCAGUAAAAAGAAACUAGAGAGUUCUUUUUAAUAUGGCACUGGGGUGUGUACACACCGCCNGUCACCCUCUUCAAAAAUCUCAUUUUACAGUAUCUAACUAAUUUUUCCUGCAAGAA